rnacentral:rRNA from 1 species
GACGAACCGUGCGAACGUUAUUCGGAAUCACUGGGCUUAAAGCGCGUGUAGGCGGAAGGGCACGUCUGGUGCUGAAAUCCCCCGGCUCAACCGGGGAACGGGCACGGAUACGACAUCUUCUGGAGGAACGUAGGGGGGACCGUGGAACUUCCGGUGGAGCGGUGAAAUGACGUUGAGAUCGGAAGGAACGCCCGUGGCGAAAGCGAGGUCCUGGACGUUUACUGACGCUGAGACGCGAA